rnacentral:rRNA from 1 species
CCUACGGGAGGCAGCAGUGGGGAAUAUUGCACAAUGGGGGAAACGCUGAUGCAGCGACGCCGCGUGAGUGAAGAAGUAAUUCGUUAUGUAAAGCUCUAUCAGCAGGGAAGAAAAUGCCGGUACCUGAGGAAGAAGCACCGGCUAACUACGUACCAGCAGCCGCAGUAAUACGUAGGCGGCCAGCGUUAUCCGGAUUUACUGGGUGUAAAGGGGGCGUAGACGGCGGUACAAGUCUGGAGUGAAAGGCGCGGGGUUAAACCCCGGACUGCCCUGGAAACUGUACGUCUUGAGUGCAGGAGAGGUAAGCGGAAUGCGUGGUGUAGCGGUGAAAUGCGUAGAUAUUAGGAGGAACACCAGUGGCGAAGGCGGCUUACUGGACUGUAACUGACGUUGAGGCUCGAAAGCGUGGGGAGCAAACAGGAUUAGAUACCCUUGUAGUC